UCUGCAUCUGCAGUAGGAGCAUUAGCAGCAGCACCUUUCGCUCUGGCAGCUGCAGGUUUCACCUCAGGUGGGAUAGCAGCAGGUUCCUUCGCUGCGAGCAUGAUGUCUUCAGCAGCAGCGGCCAACGGAGGCGGAGUGGCAGCAGGAAGCGUGGUGGCUGUUCUGCAAUCAGCAGGUGCUGCUGGUUUGUCAGGUGCCGCCAGUACAGCUGUAGCCUGUGCAGGAGCAGCAGCAGGGUGGGUGGCCAGCUUCUUCCGCUGAAAAUCACCUACAAAAUACUUAUUGUUUAUGUGUAGGGGAGUAUGUGCUAAUACUCCUGAAGCAUUAUGUUGCAUUAUGAUGUAAAUCAAAAAAGUUGCUUGAGUGGAAUUUGAAAUAAGACAAAGUUUUUCUCUAUCUCACAAAAUGUAAACAGUCUAUAAAAUGAAAGAGCAAUAAAAGUCUUAUUGAAAGUU